rnacentral:rRNA from 1 species
GACGAACGCUGGCGGCGUGCCUAAUACAUGCAAGUCGAACGAACCGCGACUAGGUGCUUGCACUUGGUCAAGGUGAGUGGCGAACGGGUGAGUAACACGUGGGUAACCUACCUCAUAGUGGGGGAUAACAGUCGGAAACGACUGCUAAUACCGCAUAGGACAUAGGAUCACAUGAUUCUGUGAGGAAGGGUGGCGCAAGCUAUCGCUAAGAGAUGGACCCGCGGUGCAUUAGCUAGUUGGUAGGGUAAAGGCCUACCAAGGCGAUGAUGCAUAGCCGACCUGAGAGGGUGAUCGGCCACAUUGGGACUGAGACACGGCCCAAACUCCUACGGGAGGCAGCAGUAGGGAAUCUUCCGCAAUGGACGCAAGUCUGACGGAGCAACGCCGCGUGAGUGAAGAAGGUCUUCGGAUCGUAAAGCUCUGUUGUUAGAGAAGAACAGCGCAUAGAGUAACUGUUAUGCGUGUGACGGUAUCUAACCAGAAAGCCACGGCUAACUACGUG